UGGCGGCUGGCCUGCUGGUGGCGGUGGGCGCGUUGGCGCUGCGCCAGUUUGGGCAGGUUGAGCUGAAGUUCGACACGUCGUUGCAAAC
rnacentral:tRNA from 1 species